AUGAACGCUAGCUACAGGCUUAACACAUGCAAGUCGAGGGGCAUCAGGAAGAAAGCUUGCUUUCUUUGCUGGCGACCGGCGCACGGGUGAGUAACACGUAUCCAACCUGCCCUUUACUCGGGGAUAGCCUUUCGAAAGAAAGAUUAAUACCCGAUGGCAUAAUGAUUCCGCAUGGUUUCAUUAUUAAAGGAUUCCGGUAAAGGAUGGGGAUGCGUUCCAUUAGGUUGUUGGUGAGGUAACGGCUCACCAAGCCUUCGAUGGAUAGGGGUUCUGAGAGGAAGGUCCCCCACAUUGGAACUGAGACACGGUCCAAACUCCUACGGGAGGCAGCAGUGAGGAAUAUUGGUCAAUGGGCGCUAGCCUGAACCAGCCAAGUAGCGUGAAGGAUGAAGGCUCUAUGGGUCGUAAACUUCUUUUAUAUAAGAAUAAAGUGCAGUAUGUAUACUGUUUUGUAUGUAUUAUAUGAAUAAGGAUCGGCUAACUCCGUGCCAGCAGCCGCGGUAAUACGGAGGAUCCGAGCGUUAUCCGGAUUUAUUGGGUUUAAAGGGAGCGUAGGUGGACUGGUAAGUCAGUUGUGAAAGUUUGCGGCUCAACCGUAAAAUUGCAGUUGAUACUGUCAGUCUUGAGUACAGUAGAGGUGGGCGGAAUUCGUGGUGUAGCGGUGAAAUGCUUAGAUAUCACGAAGAACUCCGAUUGCGAAGGCAGCUCACUGGACUGCAACUGACACUGAUGCUCGAAAGUGUGGGUCUCAAACAGGAUUAGAAACCCUGGUAGUCCACCCAGUAAACGAUGAAUACUCGCUGUUUGCGAUAUACAGUAAGCGGCCAAGCGAAAGCAUUAAGUAUUCCACCUGGGGAGUACGCCGGCAACGGUGAAACUCAAAGGAAUUGACGGGGGCCCGCACAAGCGGAGGAACAUGUGGUUUAAUUCGAUGAUACGCGAGGAACCUUACCCGGGCUUAAAUUGCAGUGGAAUGAUGUGGAAACAUGUCAGUGAGCAAUCACCGCUGUGAAGGUGCUGCAUGGUUGUCGUCAGCUCGUGCCGUGAGGUGUCGGCUUAAGUGCCAUAACGAGCGCAACCCUUAUCUUUAGUUACUAACAGGUCAUGCUGAGGACUCUAGAGAGACUGCCGUCGUAAGAUGUGAGGAAGGUGGGGAUGACGUCAAAUCAGCACGGCCCUUACGUCCGGGGCUACACACGUGUUACAAUGGGGGGUACAGAAGGCAGCUAGCGGGUGACCGUAUGCUAAUCCCAAAAUCCUCUCUCAGUUCGGAUCGAAGUCUGCAACCCGACUUCGUGAAGCUGGAUUCGCUAGUAAUCGCGCAUCAGCCACGGCGCGGUGAAUACGUUCCCGGGCCUUGUACACACCGCCCGUCAAGCCAUGGGAGCCGGGGGUACCUGAAGUACGUAACCGCAAGGAUCGUCCUAGGGUAAAACUGGUGACUGGGGCU
rnacentral:rRNA from 1 species